UCAGAGCCCCCUCUCUGCUGCUGACAGCUCUGCUCCUGGGGACACUGCUCUGGCCCAGCCCAGGAAGAGCAGCAGUGCCCAGUGCCAGCAGUGGUGUCGGUGGGACCCCCUGUGCACAGGGACCCCCAGCCCCGGGGUGGCCGUGCCAGCCCCGCCGGGGACCUCCAGCCCCAGCAACCCAGAACAAGUGGAAAGCACAAGGGUGCAAACGCCGCCUGGGCCCAAAGGCAUUGCAAAGAGAACUGAGAUUUUAAAAAGAAACAGUAUUUUUUUCCCAAAGAUAGGCAAAAGCUAGGAUUUACAGAAGAUGUUUUAUUUGGACAAUCCUUAUAGAAACAACAGUCUACAGAACAUGUUUACAUGGCAGCCUAUAGAGUAACAAUCUACAGAACAUCUUUACAUGGGUGCUUAUAGACUAACAAACUUCCAAUCAUAUUUACAUGGCAGCUGCCACCGUGUUCUCUGCAUCUCGGAGCCUCUGGAGAGUAGCAGGACUUUCCAAGGUGGGAUUCAUGACCGCUACGUCAGAACCCAGGAAAGUUUUCUUGGAACACCUUCUAUUGGCAUGCCAAGAGUGAAUUCAAGAGGCAGGAGAGCAGCAGCCACCGUCCUGCAGCAGUCUGCGAGCUUCGCACACAAGCCGGCUUCUUCGCGGCUUCGUUCUUCGCCUCUUACAAGCUACCGCGAUCUCCAGCUGCCGGAGGACAAGAAGCGGCUACUUCGCGCACAGAUGACGGCAGCGGCAGCGGUGCGCUCCGGAGCCCCGCUUUUGCCGAAAGACGCCGGCAAGCGGCACUUGCUUUCGGCCAGCUCCGCAGCUGCGUAUUCUGCCUCUCUAGUCGCCUACUGUAGGAGGAGGGGUUGGGUAAGGAAGGCAGUCCAGGGUUGCCAUGGGAAACUGCAGUUGUAUGAGUUCUCCACCCCCUUUUGUAAGAGAAUUGUACCCUCCCCCUGUCCUGUCAGUUAUUGUUCAAGUCUGCCCCUUAGCCUAGAAUCUUCUCUGUUCCACGUUUUCCCUUUGUUUCUUCCACCAAGAACACUCCUUUCCCCUUUCCCCACUGGUUAAUGUUGUAUUUCCCCUCCCUUUAGCCUUCUCCCGAUUGUACCCUCGAAUGCUAAACCCUCCUACCCCUACGCAGUAAAAGAAUCCUCACCCCGCCCUUCGGGGCUCUCGGAAUCUGCCUCCCUUCUGCUUCGUUGUCUCCCUGUUUGCCCCUUCUGCGACCCUUCAAUAAACGAGCAGGAUUUCAGCAA